GCCGGUGUAGCUCAGUUGGUAGAGCAGCUCAUUCGUAAUGAGAAGGUCGGGAGUUCGAUUCUCUUCUCCGGCA
rnacentral:tRNA from 1 species